UCCGCCUACGGGGGGCAGCAGUGGGGAAUAUUGCACAAUGGGGGAAACCCUGAUGCAGCGACGCCGCGUGAGUGAAGAAGUAUUUCGGUAUGUAAAGCUCUAUCAGCAGGGAAGAAAAUGACGGUACCUGACUAAGAAGCCCCGGCUAACUACGUGCCAGCAGCCGCGGUAAUACGUAGGGGGCAAGCGUUAUCCGGAUUUACUGGGUGUAAAGGGAGCGUAGACGGCGAUGCAAGUCUGCAGUGAAAGCCCGGGGCUCAACCCCGGGACUGCUUUGGA
rnacentral:rRNA from 1 species